rnacentral:rRNA from 1 species
AUUGAACGCUGGCGGCAGGCCUAACACAUGCAAGUCGAGCGGAUGAAGCGAGCUUGCUCCUGGAUUCAGCGGCGGACGGGUGAGUAAUGCCUAGGAAUCUGCCUGGUAGUGGGGGAUAACGUCCGGAAACGGGCGCUAAUACCGCAUACAUCCUGAGGGAGAAAGUGGGGGAUCUUCGGACCUCACGCUAUCAGAUGAGCCUAGGUCGGAUUAGCUAGUUGGUGGGGUAAAGGCCUACCAAGGCGACGAUCCGUAACUGGUCUGAGAGGAUGAUCAGUCACACUGGAACUGAGACACGGUCCAGACUCCUACGGGAGGCAGCAGUGGGGAAUAUUGGACAAUGGGCGAAAGCCUGAUCCAGCCAUGCCGCGUGUGUGAAGAAGGUCUUCGGAUUGUAAAGCACUUUAAGUUGGGAGGAAGGGCAGUAAGUUAAUACCUUGCUGUUUUGACGUUACCAACAGAAUAAGCACCGGCUAACUUCGUG